AAUUCCAUGUUUUAAGAACACUUGGGGCAAUAGCAUUCCUAAUUACAAUCCAGGUGAGGUCACAGAGUGAAGCCAUGAAGUCUGUUUACAUAAUCUCAAGGUGUCGUGAAGAGUGAAAGGGCUCAUCAGGUACAGAUGAAGUUCCUCGUCUAGUGCAACCGUCCAUACCUUUUAGAGCGCUUCUCUUUUGCAUCCCGACAGGCGUCAUGGACGGGACACAGCUGCCUUUUGAAGGCGCCUCUCUGCACUGCACCUUCACUCAGGUUUCCCACCACCCUGCAGAGGGCGCCAUCCUCAGCAAAGACUCAAAAGAUUCAACAGAAACACAUCUCCACCUUACGACAAUUUAUAGCGGGCCUUUAGAUAAAUUACCGCAUGGAGACAUUUUUUUCAAUUUUAGUUCCAAAUUUUUUAUCUUGCUUAGUUUUAAAAACAUUGUAUUAUAUCUUUUGAGC
rnacentral:lncRNA from 1 species